rnacentral:rRNA from 1 species
UACGUAGGGGGCAAGCGUUGUCCGGAUUAUUGGGCGUAAAGAGCGUGUAGGCGGCCUUACAGGUCAGCUGUGAAAACUCGAGGCUCAACCUCGAGACGUCGGUUGAAACCGUAUGGCUAGAGUCCGGAAGAGGCGAGUGGAAUUCCCGGUGUAGCGGUGAAAUGCGCAGAUAUCGGGAGGAACACCGAUGGCGAAGGCAAUCCCCUGGGCCUGCACUGACGCUCAUGCACGAAAGCGUGGGGAGCAAACAGG